rnacentral:ncRNA from 1 species
CUUAGUACGAGAGGACCGGGAUGGACGAACCUCUGGUGUUCCGGUUGUCAUGCCAAUGGCAUUGCCGGGUAGCCAAGUUUGGAUGGGAUAAACGCUGAAAGCAUCUAAGCGUGAAACCCACCUCGAGAUGAGAUCUCCCUGGGAGCUCGACUCCCCUAAAGGGCCGUGGUAGACCACCACGUUGAUAGGCAGGGUGUGUAAGCGCCGUAAGGCGUUGAGCUAACCUGUACUAAUUGCCCGUGAGGCUUGACCAU